rnacentral:pre_miRNA from 1 species
AAAAAGACAAACCCUGAUUUCCGUGUCCAACUUUGACUGUCCGUUUUAUAUGAACUUUAUUUAUAAUUCGUAUUUUUAUUAUUGUUAGAUGAUAAAACAUUAUUAAUAUUUUAUACGUAACUUGUCUUUUUAAUUUUUUUAUAAUUUUUUUAAAUAAGUCGGACGGUUAAACGUU